CGUUGGAGAUGGAAGCAAAGUUCCAGUUCUAGCAUUAGGAAUCAUGAACCUUGUAAUCAAUUCUCGAAAUAUAAUUCUGAGUGAAUGUCACUAUUGUCCAAGCUUUUUAUUAAAUAUUAUUUCUGUAGGCCUUUUGGCCAUGAACGGUUAUCAAUUUUUAAUAAAAAAAAUAUUUACAAUAUUAUUUUGAAUCGUGUUACAAUGUUUGUUGGAUAACUUAAUAAUGAAAUUUACUUUCUAUCACAACCUGUUAAUGUGGUUCAAACCUCCAGUAAAUGCCCUAGAAUAGAUAAUGUGUCAGAAGUCUACCUUUGGCACUGUAGGCUAGGUCAUAUCAAUAAGAAUAGGAUAAACAGGUUGGCUCAAGAAGAAAUUCUU
rnacentral:lncRNA from 1 species